rnacentral:misc_RNA from 1 species
GAAAUGCGAUAAGUAAUGUGAAUUGCAGAAUUCAGUGAAUCACCGAAUCUUUGAACGCACAUUGCGCCCGCCAGUAUUCUGGCGGGCAUGCCUGUUCGAGCGUCAUUUCAACCAUCAAGCCCCCGGCUUGUGUUGGGGACCUGCGGCUGCCCGCAGGCCCUGAAAACCAGUGGCGGGCUCGCUGUCACACCGAGCGUAGUAGCAUACAUCUCGCUCAGGGCGUGCUGCGGGUUCCGGCCGUUAAAAGCCUUUUUUACCCAAGGUUGACCUCGGAUCAGGUAGGAAGACCCGCUGAACUUAAGC